GAGCCUUUGGGGACAUAUUCAAACCACCACAUUAUGUUCUUCUCCUUUUUCAAAUGGGAGUUUUGGAACCAGCAACAGCCAGACUGGCUCACAGGAGAGCUCCUGGGACUAGUCCUGAUGAAGAAUAGCACUGGCCCUAUUUUUCUGAAGCCAACAGUUAGCAUCUUGAUGAUUUCACAAAUUUGGGUCUUUUGAAAACAUGGUACGCGGAUGCAGAAUUUUGUCACUGAAUAUUCUACCUAGGCUGAAGCUGAAUGGAGUUGCUGCUGGCAAAAAGGGACUGUUGCCUUCCUGUCAGCUGUGGACUUUUUUCUCAAGUUUAUGGUCGUAGAUGGAAUUUCAAAAGUACAUUUUUCCCAUAGUCACAAUGAGAAGAAACCCUUGAAAAAGGAACUCCUCAAAAGUGAAAAGUAAAGUUUGAUUCAUGCAGCAACGUUUACUGAGCACCUGCCCUCAGAUGAAAUCAUGGAAACACUGAAUGGGGCUUUAAAAGUUCUUCGUUUUUCAAUUUAAAAAUUUUCUAGCAUUCACUUUAAAAGUGUAUGUGGAAAAGGAAAGUCUUUGAAAAUGAAAACUUUUCUAUUUUGUCCUCAAAGUAAUUAAGUACACUAAACGUCAUAAUAUCUAAUCAUUUCCCCAAAUAACACUUUUUAAGUCAUGGGCUAAAUAUUUGUGGAGGAAAUGUGACCUGCUACUAGGAACAAACUAGCAAAUUUGAUUGCUCAGGCCAACAUCACAAGACACAGGCAAACCACCCCUCUGUUAGCUACCAAAAGUAGCAACUGAAAAAAAGAUUUGUAAUGUUAUGGGGUGAAAUUCUGCCUGGUCAUUUUUGAAGUUCUACUUUAAUAUUUCAGUUUAAACUUUCUUCAUCCUUUUGAAAUAAUAGUCAUGGGUUUUGGUUUAAUUAUAGGAGGCAUGGAAUAAUUAACAUAAGCAUUGAAAUAUGAACAUCGACUUCAUCAAGAUUGCUACCUUGCCUUUAAUUUUUUUCAUGAAAAAGCCUGGGCUUAUACAUCUAUCAACAAGCUUUUAAAAUAUAAUCCCAGAAGAUCAACAAAGUGUUGAAAUCACAAAGCACAGAUAACAGAAAACAGUGGACUUACCGAAGAACACAGUUGCUAAGAGUGUGUGACAAAAGGCACAUUUUGGUGACAGCCAGUUUGCUGGUUUUCGGCCUCAGAUUCUUUCUGUGAGCCCUUGACAUAGGUGAAACAAAAAGGGCGUGGGCAUCAAUGUUUAGAGUUAGGAAAGGUGAAAAACAGGCCCUGACAGCACAUCUAAGCACAUGCGUGUACUUAAUAAAUGCAUUUCCCUUUUUAUUCUCAAUAUUUCUAAAAGAGCAUCCACCGCCCUAAGGUUUCUUAACCAAAAUAUUUUACACCAUUGAGUCAGACAUUGUUAAGUGCACUUUAAACAACUUUACUAUUAGCUACUCACUAAAAGUGAAUCUUUGGUGACUUUGAAUUGUUUUCAAGUCAUGAAACCUUAGGGAAAAACUAAAGAGAGACAGACCAGAUCACAGCCUACCUUUUUCAGCCCCGAGAACUCUCUUUCCAAGUAGUUUCUUAAAUAGUGAGGCUACAUCAGAGCUCUUACUCCCUCUGCUUGGAAGUUACUAGAUCAGCAGAAAGACCAACAAUAAUGGCACAUGAAGUCUAAGUUUUGUAUAGGAAACAGACAAGCAGUCUAUACUUGGUUAUUCAAUUGAUAGACAGCUAUGUUGACAGCCCUAACCUUGGAAACCACAGGCCCUGCUGAGCUCAGCAGGAGUGAAAUGCUGAGUACCAUCUGUCAAAGCUUUAUUCACCUCCUUGUCCACGCCUCUGCCAUAAGAUGCUAACAAGAGCACUGAACAGUCACUAACUACUGUUAAACUUGAGGGCACUGUCAUGUAGAUAUUGGAGCAAAAUUCCUCUCUCAGAAUCUAAUGAAUUUGAGUGAACUGAAUUGGGAGUUUUUUCUCAACAAGUUAUUUAGACAGAAGUGUAGGUGGAGGAGCCUACACUUAGGCUCAAUAGUCCUAAUCUGACUAAUAUCUCCGAAUAAGAAAAUUGUAUAUCACUCUGCAUGGUUUUGAAAAUGAAUGUUUUGAAAAGACAUGUUUUAAAAACAUGUACAAAACCAAAAUUUAUUCUUUCAAAAGAGAGAGAAGAUUCUGAUGAGUUAAAUGAUUCCCAGAAGCAGUCUCAUUCAGGGGGCACACUCUCCCUCUCUUGAGCAAUGUCAAGUCUAAAAAUGCAACAGUCUUAAUCGUCAUCAAAUCAAUGAAAUGAGGUGUGGUAUUGCUCAUGCUGAUCCAGUGCAGAAGACGGAAGUGUAGACACGGGAGGGGUAGAAAGGGGACACCUUUCUCCUAAAGGUGUCAACAAGUGUGCCUGUUCAUUGCAGAGCAGUUUUCUUCCGGAUUGCAUUACAAGCUCUUGCAUCUAUAAUGAAUAAUUAUUGAUUUUUAAAACUCCUUAAAUGUAAAGUACCA
ensembl:lncRNA